rnacentral:ncRNA from 1 species
UGAGAGUUUGAUCCUAGCUCAGGGUGAACGCUGGUAACGUGGAUACCGGCAUGCAAGUCACGGGGGCCGCAAGGCAACCGGCGAACGGCUUAGUAACACGUAGGUACAUACCCCAAAGUGGAGCAUAGCUCGUUGAAAAACGGGGUAAUUCUCCAUAAUAUCGCAAGAUUAAAGCAGUAAUGCGCUUUGGGAAUGGCCUGCGGCCUAUCAGAUUGUUGGCGAGGUAAUGGCUCACCAAGUCUAUGACGGGUAGGGGGCGUGAGAGCGCGACCCCCAAGAAUGGCACUGCGACACGGGCCAUACUCCUACGGGAGGCUGCAGUCGAGAAUCUUCCGCAAUGGGCGAAAGCCUGACGGAGCGACGUUACGUGAAUGAUGAAGCCCUUCGGGGUGUAAAGUUCUUUUAUUUGGGAGGAAAUUAUUGACAGUACCAGAUGAAUAAGGGGAUCCUAAUUCUGUGCCAGCAGGAGCGGUAAGACAGAAUCCCCAAGCGUUACCCGGAUUUAUUGGGCGUAAAGGGUCCGUAGGUGGCGCAGUAAGUUGAAAGUUAAAACUCAUCGGCUUAACCUUUGAGGUGCUUUCAAUACUGCUGUGCUAGAGGAUGUUAGGGGUGAACGGAACCGACGGAGUAGGGGUGAAAUCCGUUGAUAUCGUCGGGAACACCAAAAGCGAAGGCAGUUCACUAGGACAAUCCUGACACUGAGGGACGAAAGCGUGGGGAGCAAAAAGGAUUAGAUACCCUUGUAGUCCACGCUGUAAACGAUGAUUACUGGCUAUGUGAAGUGUCGACCCUUCACGUGGCGAAGCUAACGCGUUAAGUAAUCCGCCUGGGAAGUACGGUCGCAAGACUAAAACUCAAAGGAAUAGACGGGGACUCACACAAGCGGUGGACCAUGUGGCUUAAUUCGACAACAAACGGAGAACCUUACCAGGUCUGGAAAUCUGCAUGAAAGCCCUAAGAAACUAGGGCCCUUCACAAGACAUGCAGACAGGUGCUGCAUGGUUGAUGCUUUUCACAUAAAGCAUAUCGACCCUUUUUAGAGUAAUCUAAAUUGAAAAAACCAGCUCAUAACGGUGAAACCCAAAUAAAUUUAUGUUAAAAUAAAUUUAUGGGCAAUACCGUGGGAAGUAAAAAAGAUAGACGUCCGACGUCUAUCCAACUUACCCCGUAGAGACUCAGCUCUCACUGAAAAGGCAAGAGAGCUCAAUAAUUGUGUUUUGUCAUUGCGAGGAGGCUCGCAAGCCGACGAAGCAAUCCAGAGUGAGUGCAUUAUACUCUAGAUUGCCACGCUCGCCUGCGGGCUCGCUCGCAAUGACAAAGAAAACAGUUAUUACACGCUGGGCACCAUUUAAAAUCCUAAUUACAAAUUCUAAAUAAGUUCUAAAACAAAAGAAAAACCACGCGACUUUCGUCCGUGGGGUGGCAAAUUGUUACGCACAACUUGCAAAGCAAUUUCUACUUCACCUCCGCAGUUUCAACCAGAACCGCCUGCCAAAAGUUCUUGGCAUCCUGGGCGAUAUCACUGUCGCCGACCAUGGCGUCGAUGAGGGCGGGAAUGUGGCAAUGCAUUGCGUCACGCAGGAAUUCGGGAGACUUGAUAAUCUCCUCGUAGUCCGCGAUAGCAAUCUGCAACAUCAUGACGACCCCUUCGGCGUACAGUUCUUCGCCAGCAUGCUUAAGGAGCAGGGGGUAGAACUUGAUUCGCCAUGGAUGGUCAUCCCGUCUGGCCUUAAAUCUGGCCAAGUUCGGAUCUGUCUUCUCCAUGAGGAGAAGAUUGGCCCACAUCACCUCACGAGUAGGAAGAACGGUGAUUUUCUUCAUGAUUCACUCCUGCAAAAGGGUCAAAUUGUUAAAUUUCAGCCUAUACUUAAUUAUAGCAUAAGCAAGAAUGCUUGUCAAUAGCAACACAAGUUUUGGGAAUAGUCAAUAAAAUUUAGAAUUUAUUUGGGAUUUGUAAUUUUGGAAUAGUAAAUGGUGUAUGGUAUAGUCCACACUUUUAGUAAUAAGAGAUAAUGUGGUCGUCAGUUCGUGUCUUGAGACGUACCGUUAAUUCGGGUAACGAACGCAACCCUUGCCCUGUGUUUUAAAUGUCACAGGGGACUGCCCGAGAUAAUUGGGAGGAAGGCGAGGAUGACGCCAAAUCAGCAUGGCCCUUUGAUGACCUGGGCCGCACACGUGGUACAAUGGCCGGUACAAUGCGCUUCGAUAGCGAAAGCUGGAGAUUAAUCGCACCAAAACCGGUCUCAGUUCGGAUUGAGGUCUGAAACCCGACCUCAUGAAGCUGGAAUCGCUAGUAAUCGCCAAUCAGCUACGUGGCGAUGAAUACGUUCCUGAGUCUUGUACUCACCGCCCGUCAAGCCAAGCGAGCUGGGGAUAGCCGAAGUUCCUCGCAAGAGGGCCUAAGCUAGAUUCAGUAAGAGGGGCUAAGUCGUAACAAGGCACGGGUAGCGGAAGCUGCUCGUGGAUCAUUUUUU